UGGAGGACUGAGAAGGUUGAGCAGCUGGUGUUGUGCUGUUAUAACUGGUUAUAACCUCCAAUAUUAAUAGACAAACCACACAAAAUCACUGGCUGUGUCAUAAACAGAGCUAAUGCGUGUGUUUGUGAACAAAAU